GAAAUAUUAUUUUUAUAGUGAAAAUAGUUACAUCACGAUUUUAAAUUACAUUUCCAUUUGAAAUGGAGUGGAUUUGCACCACCUACUGGAAUAUACAGCUCUACAUAGCCAGAGGUUUCAAAUCAUAAACCACUUUUAAGAAUUUAGAGUCACAUUUCUAGUUAUCUUUAAGAGACCAGCCCCUCUGACAUGUUGGAAAUGCCAAAUGCUAAUUUACUUCAGGGACCAUUUUCUAGAACAAACUCUCUUCAGAAGCCAAAUUUAAUCAUCUAGCUAAAUUAACAAAUUGUACAACUGCUUAUAGAAAUAAAAUGAUUAAGCCAAAUACAUCAACCAAAGAGAUAAAAAUGUAAAUUAGAAGCAAAACUGAAAUCAAUACACAUUAUCAGUUGCGAACUCACUAUUAAAAAGCAGAAUUCAAGCAGACAACUGGAAAAUGACAGGAAACAUAAGCAAACAGGAGCAUAAACAGAACAUAACUCAACAUUAAUUAAAAAAGAAGUCACCCAAUGAAAAUUUGAUAGUGUUUAUAUCCAAAGUAAUAAUCAUUGUCAUGGCUUAAUUACAGCUGAACAUCAACACACAAACUAUUUAUAUUUAAGCUCUUUGACGUUUUAAAGGAAAUCCUUACAAAAAUUUUCAUUUUUCAUGACAAACUACUCCAAGCAAUAAAUUUCUCAAUAUAUAGUAACAACAUUUAUUAUUGUGUAAUUGACAGAGAUUCAGAAAAAAUUACAUCUACAACAUCUACUAUUCUAGACGAAAUUGCUUUGGAAUAGAAGUCUAAAUAUAUUACAUUUUAAUUUCUUGAAACCUAUUAUCCCAUUUCACUUAUUUUAUGGGUAUUUUGUCUGAAAAUUGAUUUUAUUUUUAUAUGUCAACUAAAUUAGAUGUCAACUAAAUUAGCUGAAGCAUAAAAUAUGCUGGCGAGAUACAUUUACAAAUACACACCACAAAAUGGUGUGCAAGUAACAAGAACCUGAUUUAGACACACAAGCACAAAAAGACACUGUGCGAUGGUGACCAACUCAUCCAUAAUCCUCUUCGUUGUUGCAGGUGAUUUGUGCAUGACAAGCCUGUUUGCAGUGACAAAUGCAUGUGCAAGGUUGCUGGGUUUCUCAUUCUCAUUUGAGUUCACUGCUCGUGUGAUUUCAUUCUUAAAAUUCUCAUCUGCACUGGAAAGCUUGGGUUGCUUAAUUUCUCCCAGGUCAGCAGACAGCCUUUCUCAAGGCAUCACACCCAUGACUGUGCUCACCACCCCUACAGAGAUGACUCCCACACAGGAAUCUGUAGCCCUGACCUCUUUUUACAGUUCCAGUGGUAUAUCCUCUUGCCUGCUGGCUGCCCUCUUAGAUGUCCCAAGGGCAUCUCAAACCCAUAGGCCCCAAAGCCAACUCAUGACCUACCCACCUCUCGAACCUCAUCCUCUCUCAGUGUUCCCAGCUUGCCUAUCCCAUUCAUCCAACCAGGUAUCACUGACACCCACUUCCUACUUGCCCCUAAUCCCAUCCAUCCUCAAAGUCCUGGCCGUUUCAUUUUCUAAAUCUUCCUGGAGCCUGUCUGCCUCUGUCAUCUCCUCCACUACCCACUGGUCCAAAGGACCAUCAUGUCUAGCCUGGGCCAAUUCAAAAGCCUAGGGUAGCCUCAUUUACUGACCAUGUGACCCCUUGCUCAAAGCCUUUCACUGAGGAUACAGAGAAAUUUCUUGACAAGGCCACGGAGGCCUUUCCUGGCUGGUGCCCACCUACCUCUCCAGCCUCACCUCUCUCCUCGAGCUCCCUCCUGGGGCUUCUGCCCCAGCCUUGCCACCACCUUCCCGUGCCUGCCCUGGCUGGGCUCUCCACCGCUGCCAGGACUUUGCCUGUGCUUUUCCCUCUGCCUGGAGUUCUCUUUUCUUUCCUUUUUUGCCUGGUUACCUCCUCUUUGACCUUCCUGAUUGGGUCAAUACAUAGGUACAAGUUCACAGUUUGGGGUGGUACUUAUUUGAAAGUUUCUGCGUGUCCUUGUUAAACUGUUUUUACUCAUCUUUGCGUUCCCAGAAGCUAGCACACCACCUGCAUAUAUGAAACAUGGACUGCCUCACUCAGACCAGGGCCAGAAGGGCCCCUGCUCUGACCACACCCCUACCACAGGGAGAUAGGCCCUCCUGGAGCUCCAGGGAGCCUGCCCGAAUGGCUCCAGGCCUGCUUUGGGGUCCAUGCAGGCUGCUACCCAGGCUGGUCAUCCGCCACCCCGGCUCUGCCUAUUGGGUAAUGACCCAUGUUCUAGAACAUUCCCCGAUGGGAAUGGGAACCCCUCAGAGCCGGGCUCUAUUUCAACUAAUCCAGUUGGCAAACCAUCACUCACGUGUGAUAAGGCACACACUGAGAUCUCCUGGGACAGAGGGUCCUUGAUGUUCCCCAAAUCACACCAAGCGGGUCCCCCUACAAGAAAAGAUCUAACGCAGGUCACAGGAGCCAUCUUGGCGGAAAUUUCUUCACUCUGGAAGCCUUCUCUGGCAGUGGAGGCCGGGGCCGGCCCAGAAGAUUCCACUCUAAAUGACCCCUUAGAGGGGCCUCCCUCCAGCUGUGAUUCUCCUAUGGGUCACUUCAAUCAGAUAAUAAGCAUUCAUCACAGCCAAGAUGCACAAGGUGCUGCUCAGGGCUUUCCAAAACGAUUCAUAAUGUCCACACAGAGCGUGGUCAACUAUUUUUAGGGAUGUACAAGCCUGAGACCCUCCAACAGGAGAGCUUAAGUUUCUCCUCCCACUCUUGCGCCGCCUCUUUCCUACUUCCUGGCCAUUAAAAGAAUGAUAUUUGUAAUGUAGAUGAGGUCAGUCCUUUUGUACAAUGUUGACAGACAAGAGGAAGGUUCCAGAGAGAAAUGCCACAGCAGCAAAUGAAUAUAAAUGACGUUUUCCCACUUUGUGCUCAUAAAAUGCCUUUUGUACCAAAUCUCAAGGCUCUCCAGGAAGCGAGGCUUUGACUCACACUUUCACUCAGGGUAAAUGUGAAUGGCCAGAGCUGCUCAAGUCACUUGUGAUAAGAAAGAACAAAAGUCCAGACACUUUUAAAAUGCAAUAUUCUUGCCUUCUGGGUAGUAAACAAAAGUGUGCAGAUGGAUAAUGACAUCUGUGGAUUCUGGCUCCAUUUCC
ensembl:lncRNA